rnacentral:rRNA from 1 species
UUUUUCGGAGAGUUUGAUCCUGGCUCAGGACGAACGCUGGCGGCGUGCCUAAUACAUGCAAGUCGAGCGAACAGAAGGGAGCUUGCUCCCGGAUGUUAGCGGCGGACGGGUGAGUAACACGUGGGUAACCUGCCUGUAAGACUGGGAUAACUCCGGGAAACCGGAGCUAAUACCGGAUAGUUCCUUGAACCGCAUGGUUCAAGGAUGAAAGACGGUUUCGGCUGUCACUU